rnacentral:rRNA from 1 species
AUUGAACGCUGGCGGCAGGCCUAACACAUGCAAGUCGAACGAGUGGCGGACGGGUGAGUAAUGUCUGGGAAACUGCCUGAUGGAGGGGGAUCACUACUGGAAACGGUAGCUAAUACCGCAUACCAUCGGAUGUGCCCAGAUGGGAUUAGCUAGUAGGUGGGGUAAAGGCUCACCUAGGCGACGAGCCCUAGCUGGUCUGAGAGGAUGACCAGCCACACUGGAACUGAGACAAGGUCCAGACUCCUACGGGAGGCAGCAGUGGGGAAUAUUGCACAAUGGGCGCAAGCAUGAUGCAGCCAGGCCGCGUGUAUGAAGAAGGCCUUCGGGUUGUAAAGUACUUUCAGCGGGGAGUCGUUACCCGCAGAAGAAGCACCGGCUAACUCCGUGCCAGCAGCCGCGGUAAUAC